rnacentral:rRNA from 1 species
UACGUAGGUCCCGAGCGUUAUCCGGAUUUAUUGGGCGUAAAGCGAGCGCAGGCGGUUGGAUAAGUCUGAAGUUAAAGGCUGUGGCUCAACCAUAGUAUGCUUUGGAAACUGUUCAACUUGAGUGCAGAAGGGGAGAGUGGAAUUCCAUGUGUAGCGGUGGAAUGCGUAGAUAUAUGGAGGAACACCGGUGGCGAAAGCGGCUCUCUGGUCUGUAACUGACGCUGAGGCUCGAAAGCGUGGGUAGCGAACAGG